rnacentral:rRNA from 1 species
AGCUCUGUAAGCGUAUACCAAAGUUGUUGCAGUUAAAACGCUCGUAGUCGGAACUUGGCAGUUUCGGAUGUGUUUACGUCGUGUGAGCACUUUGCGGGGAUUGCUUUUGUGGUAUUACGUAGGAUGAGGCACUUUUAUUAGUGAACGUCCUCACGUAACCACUUUUUACUGUGAGAAAAUCAGAGUGCUCAAAGCAGGCAUUUGCCCUGAAUGUAUUAGCAUGGAAUAAUAGAAUAGGACUUGGUUCUAUUUUGUUGGUUUGUUGGGACUGAGUAAUGAUUAAGAGGGACAGUUGGGGGCAUUUGUAUUUCGGCGCUAGAGGUGAAAUUCUUAGAUUGCCGAAAGACAAACUGCUGCGAAAGCGUCUGCCAAAGAUGUUUUCA